AUUCACAUCCUCCAGCAGCCUUACUCCCAGCGAUGAGUGGCUGAAUCGAUUUCAACAAAAUCGCUAAUAUCGUACUCCCACCGCACAUUUUUGCGGCUCAUUGUGUUAUGACGUCACGCAAACCGUUCAGUGAAAAUUAUAGCGUUACUAAGCUAGAAAUUCGCACCACGAGCUCAUCAUGAGCUCAUCACACAGAGUAGAUUAUAUGUCAAAGUUGCGACUCAACGCCUCUUUGAAAAAAGUUCCUAUUCUUGCAACGCAAAGCCAUUACAAUGGCUAAUUUUUCCUAUUUUUGUAAGAAAAAGAGCCUGUAAUUACACCUACAAAGUGAUGUGAAAGUAGUUACUGAGGAUACGUGAGGAUUGCAAACCAGUCUCCCUGGAUAUUUUAAAGCAUAUUUAAAGGAGUUGACGGACAAUUUGAUUGAAGACUUUAGCUUCAUGAAACUAGCUGAUUUGAGCGUAACAAAUAAGGUUUUUACUGCGUUGCAACUGGCUCCAGACUGGAAUUUAUAACCAAGACUAAAUAUUCAAGUGCCUAUGUGAAGUACUUAACAACAAGUUGUAUUAAGAUCUUAUGAAGUUAAUACCUACAUAAGAAACUAAAUUGGCAUAUCAU